UUCCUCGUGCCCCAAUGGUGCUGGCGUCACAACUACGAACCAGGAGAUUCCAGGUUCGAGUCCUGGCGGGGAAG
rnacentral:tRNA from 1 species